GUUGUGGCUCAGUGGUAGAACACUUGCCUGGUACAUGCGGGGCACUGAGUUCAAUCCUCAGCACCACG
rnacentral:tRNA from 1 species